AGCAGGUUGGGCAGCCGCGGGCGCUUUUGCGCACGAGGAAAGUCCGAGCUUCACAGGGCGGGAUAACGGCUAACGGCCGCCGAGGGAGACCUUAGGGAAAGUGCAACAGAGAUAUACCGCCGGAUUCGUCCGGUAAGGGUGGAAAGGCGAGGUAAGAGCUCACCGGCGCGCAGGAGACUGCGCGGCCCUGCAAACCCUAUCCGAAGCAACACCGACUGGGGACGUCGCUGGCCCGGUGCAUUCCCCGACGGGUGGCUUGAGCCGUGCGGCAACGUACGGCCUAGACAGAUGGCUGCCUUCAAUGACAGAACUCGGCUUACAGACCUGUCU
rnacentral:RNase_P_RNA from 1 species